UCUGACAGAGAAGAGGAACUGUGGACUCUGGUACUACCCUGUACUCCCGCCACUUCCCAAAGGGGAAACGUGAUGAGGCUGGGGUUGGGAUUUUGAGCAGAAGCAUUUAGGCUUUCCAGAAGCUUCUGUCCUGAUGGAGCACUCACCUCAUACUGGCCUGGAGCAGCUGGAAGAUUGUGCCUGAAGGGAGCUGCGGCAAUGGCUGAGGCCCUCCGGCCACCCAGAGAAGAGAGAGGCCUGGACCUGGGGCUGGUGGAGCGAGGCAAGCAGUACAAGUGAGGAAAUCAUGUGAUUUCACUAGCAACGUUGCUUCUCAGAGGGAAUGAACGGUUCUGGGCCAUCCUCAGAUGCCUGGCACACCCUCCUCAAUCCUUUGUCUCACCUGGAGAGGUGUCCAAGCACCAGUAGAGAACUCAGCACGUCCUUUACCCUGUUCCCUGGCCCAGCAGAAAAGUUUGUGUCCGUCCUGUCCAUCUGUGGGUCACUGCCCCCAGCAGCCACAUUCCCCACCCCUGAGACGCCACCCCUAGCCUCUUUCUCUUGCCACAAAGCCUGUUCUUUUCCCAGUCCCAAGCUCCAAGUGGUAAAGGGAGUUAGCAGCAGGCAUUUGAGUCCCACCCUGCUCCUCAGUCACCAUCCCCAUCCCCAGUUCUAGGUACAAAGACAGACUGGCUUGCCAUCAUUCAGACUGUAGGACAAAACCACAAUAAAAUAAAA